rnacentral:rRNA from 1 species
CACGAACCGUACGAACGUUAUUCGGAAUUACUGGGCUUAAAGGGUUUGUAGGCGGCCUUGUAAGUCAGGUGUGAAAGCCCUCGGCUCAACCGAGGAACAGCGCUUGAUACUGCAAGGCUUGAGGGAGACAGGGGUAAGCGGAACUGAUGGUGGAGCGGUGAAAUGCGUUGAUAUCAUCAGGGACACCGGUGGCGAAAGCGGCUUACUGGGUCUCUUCUGACGCUGAGGAACGAAAGCUAGGGUAGCGAACGGG